GAUGAACGCUAGCGACAGGCUUAACACAUGCAAGUCGAGGGGUAACAGGGUAGCAAUACCGCUGACGACCGGCGCACGGGUGAGUAACGCGUAUGCAACCUGCCUAUAACUGUGGAAUAGCUCCCUGAAAGGGGAAUUAACACCGCAUAACACUAUUGAUUCGCAUGGAUUGGUAGUUAAAUGUAGCGAUACAGGUUAUAGAUGGGCAUGCGUGACAUUAGCUAGUUGGUGAGGUAACGGCUCACCAAGGCUACGAUGUCUAGGGGUUCUGAGAGGAAGGUCCCCCAACUGGUACUGAGACACGGACCAGACUCCUACGGGAGCAGCAGUGAGGAAUAUUGGCAAUGGGCGCAAGCCUGAACCAGCCAUGUCGCGUGCAGGAAGACUGCCCUAGUGGGUUGUAAACUGUCUUUUAUAGUAGAAGAAACACAUCUACGCGUAGAUGUCUGCCAGUAUACUAUGAAUAGC
rnacentral:rRNA from 1 species